rnacentral:rRNA from 1 species
UCUAGCCAUGCCGCGUGUGUGAUGAAGGCCUUAGGGUCGUAAAGCACUUUCGCCAGAGAUGAUAAUGACAGUAUCUGGUAAAGAAACCCCGGCUAACUCCGUGCCAGCAGCCGCGGUAAUACGGAGGGGGUUAGCGUUGUUCGGAAUUACUGGGCGUAAAGCGUACGUAGGCGGAUCAGAAAGUAGGGGGUGAAAUCCCAGGGCUCAACCCUGGAACUGCCUCCUAAACUCCUGGUCUUGAGUUCGAGAGAGGUGAGUGGAAUUCCAAGUGUAGAGGUGAAAUUCGUAGAUAUUUGGAGGAACACCAGUGGCGAAGGCGGCUCACUGGCUCGAUACUGACGCUGAGGUACGAAAGUGUGGGGAGCAAACAGGAUUAGAUACCCUGGUAGUCCACUGCUGCCUCCCGUAG